rnacentral:lncRNA from 1 species
AACAGGAAUAGAUAACUGUUGAAAAGGUGGUUCAGCAGGUAGAAUGGAUGAAUAGUCAGGAAAAGUAGUUAUCAUCUGUAGUAUAGGAAUUAAUAUCUCGGAGUAGUAUAAGGAGGAUGGGAGAGGGGAAGAAAAUGCCAGACUGCGAUAGUACUGAGCCGGGGAUAAGCUUGGUGCUAUCUCUUCUUCUUAGUUUUCUU